CUUGGUUUUACAGUAACAGUAAGCUCUUACUAAAGGUAGUUUUAUGUUGAAACUAAGUUUUAUCAAUGUUGUAAAUGCUGUGGUUGCUAAGAGAAACUGAUACUUUGUUCCCAUAGGAACCAUUGUUUUAAAAUGAGAAAUAUAGAAUCUCUAACUUCAAAGGAUAAAAACUUAGGUUUGGGAUAGGGAAUAUUUUACACUUCCUGGAAAAAUGUGAAAAUUACUAUCCUCUGAUUGGAACGGAAUUAAGGUCUUAUUACCCCCAGCUGUUGGGAUUGCUGCUAGCAGACAGCCCUCAGCAGGCAGUGCUGCUUCAGGAGGAGCUUUGGCUGAAGAAAGCUGCUUCUCCCAAGGUCACACCUCUUUCCCAGUAUGCCCCCCUUUGAAGGACAGAUUCAAGCAGGACUGCAAAGACCCAGCCCUCAACUCACUCAGACAGCUCUGAAGAGUCAUCCAUUUUCAGAACUUCCCAUCAGGUUAGGUAUUCCCAGUGAUGCUGAAAUACUUGACUUGGGGGUGAAACACAUGAAAGCAGCAGUGGUGCUGGUCUAG
rnacentral:lncRNA from 1 species